rnacentral:misc_RNA from 1 species
UUUCCGUAGGUGAACCUGCGGAAGGAUCAUUAGUGAAUUUUAGGGCGUCUACUUGUAGAGCCUGACCUCCACUUUCUAACUCUGUGCACUUAUUUGGCGGAAAAAGGGAAUAGUGAUUGUUUUACGACGAUUGCGAAUUCCUUAUUUCUGCGGCUUACUUUAAACGCUAGUCAAAGUAUGUAACGAAAUAUCGAAAUACAAAGAAACUUUCAACAACGGAUCUCUUGGCUCUC